GGUCAGAUGUGUAUAAGGGACAGGUGAAUCAUCGAAUCUUUGAACGCACAUUGCGCCCCGUGGUAUUCCGCGGGGCAUGCCUGUUCGAGCGUCAUUUCAACCAAUCCAGCGUGCUGGGUCUUGGGCCUCGCCUUCGGGCGGGCCUUAAAAUCAGUGGCGGCGCCUCCCGGCUCUAAGCGUAGUAAUUCUUCUCGCUACAGGGUCCCGGGUGGAGGCUGGCCAGCAACCCCUAAUUCUCAAAGGUUGACCUCGGAUCAGGUAGGGAUACCCGCUGAACUUAAGCAUAUCAAUAAGCGGAGG
rnacentral:misc_RNA from 1 species